GACAGAGGGUGCAAACGUUGCUCGGAAUCACUGGGCGUAAAGGGCGUGUAGGCGGGAGAGAAAGUCGGGCGUGAAAUCCCUGGGCUCAACCCAGGAACUGCACUCGAAACUUCUUUUCUUGAGUGCCGGAGAGGAAAGCGGAAUACCUGGUGUAGAGGUGAAAUUCGUAGAUAUCAGGUGGAACACCAGUGGCGAAGGCGGCUCUCUGGAACGCAACUGACGCUGAGACGCGAAAGCGUGGGGAGCAAACAGG
rnacentral:rRNA from 1 species